UCGGGGACGUGGCAACUGGAGUUUCUUCUCCGUAUAUUUCGGCAUUCAGUUCCUUUUUUUUUUUGUUUUAACUCAGGAAAAAAUCUCAAUUGCGUUUAGUAUUUUGAAAGCCACUUUAUUGCUUCCCGAGCCUCAGUCAUGUGUGGUGGGAGGCUGCUGUGGGUGGCACCUGGGGCGUCCACGGCCGCCAAGGCGGGAGGACGUCAGGCCCUGCUUGCUCCCACCCCUUCCAGGUGAGAGCUCCCGGGCACGCCCGUCGUUGGCUCUUCGUCCUCUUGGUGUUCUUCCCUGUUGCUUCAAAUCAGGUUCCUGUCUCAAAAAUCCGAAAAAGAAAUCCUCCCAAAUGACUCUGUGCCCGACGCUCCGUUAAGGCAUCGUGCUAGGCGUUCUCAAACUCGUGAAAUGACUACACUGCACAGGUUAACCUCAUUGCUACUCUUCCCCUUGCCUCCUAAUUCUCUGGUUAAACUUCCGCCCCCGAGGUUUCUAGAAAUCCCUGAGCUGGAAUGCGCUGCCUUCAUUAAGAGGGUGUUCUGCUUCCGUCUGCUCACAUUCAUCUAGUAAGCCCUCUCGUUAAAGAGGAGGCAGCACACCGAGGCCUGUCUAGAACUUCUUUCAUUUAACCAACAGUGAAUAUCUAAUCUACAAGAAACUGGAGCCGUGGCAGUUUAGGAGCCUGCCAAGGUUGCAUCCCUGGGAGCUUAUUUUCUAUUGUGGGAGACAGGAAAAGAACAAGUGAAUCAACUGUGAAAUUAAAUAAUUCAAACUUAAAGCUGUUGGAACUUUAAAUUAUUCUGAGCCUUGCGAAGAAUGUGGCGAUGGGGCCUGAGUCCCAUGGCAUACAGCUGCAAUGUCUGCCUUGUUUUUUCCUAUAAUCAGGAAGACCAAACAGAGACAGAGGUAAGACCCCCUCAGAUCACUACCCCCUUCAUAAAUUAAUAUAGUUAUCUUCCUUGGAAUGUAGCUAUCUAUAACUAAUCUAAUCGCUGUAAUUUAUGCACUGCUCUUGUAUUGAAAAUGUACUCCUGCUGAACCUUCUCUGUUUCUGCCUGUGUAAAUGAAACCUUAACUUCACUUUGGAACAUUGACCCUAUUUGUUUGGAGUUGGUGUUUCCAGGUGGCUGUCCUCAAGCUUUGCGUUAGAAUAAACUCUAUACUUAAUGAUAUUUUCUGAAUUUCACUACUUAAGGCUGACACAACAAAUGAUUAGCAUAAUGUCAGACUGUGACAGGUGUUAGGAAGAAAACAAAAUGAACCUGAUGGGUGGGAGGUACGGAAGGCCUCUUAGAGAGGUGGUGGUGUUUAAGAUAAACUCUGAAGGACGAGAAGAAACUGUGACGAUCUGAGAAAAGAGCACCCCAGGCAAAAGAAUUUUGCUGGAACAUACCAGUAAGGACAAAAGCUCUGAGGUGGGAAGGCCAGUGUUGCUGCAGAGCAGUGAACAAGGUUGCAGAGCAGAACCUUGUCCAUCGUGGAAAAGCCUGAAUUUUAUUUUUAAAGCAAUGGGAAGCCAUUGCAAAGUUUUAAGCAGGAGAGGGCCAUGUUCUGACUAAAGCUUUUAAUUUUUUUAUUUGAUUUUUUUUAUUUGAUUUUUUUGAGACAGAGUCUCACCCAGUCGCCCAGGCUGGAGUGCAGUAGUGCCACCUCAGUUCACUGCAAACUCUGCCUCCCUCGUUCAAGCGGUUCUUCUGCCUCAGCCUCCCG
rnacentral:lncRNA from 1 species